rnacentral:rRNA from 1 species
UACAGAGGGUGCGAGCGUUAAUCGGAAUUACUGGGCGUAAAGCGUGCGUAGACGGUAGCGUAAGUCAGAUGUGAAAGCCCCGGGCUCAACCUGGGAACUGCAUUUGAGACUGCUCUGCUCGGGUGCGGAAGAGGGAAGCGGAAUUUCCGGUGUAGCGGUGAAAUGCGUAGAUAUCGGAAGGAACACCAGUGGCGAAAGCGGCAUCCUGGACCGGCAUUGACGCUGAGGCGCGAAAGCCAGGGGAGCGAACAGG